ACCAAAGAUGGGGAAAGAAAGGUUUGCAUUAAGGGUUGAUAUAACAGACUAUCAAAGUUAAUACUUUGUGUUACAAUUUGGAAACAACUUCAUUAUUAAACUCUCUCAUACGUUGGCCUCAUCCUGGAAAAGAGCAAAAAAAAAAGUGAUAAAUGAGGUCAAGGGAAAACAAAAAUGGAUGGAUAACUAUCUGCACAUGGGGCUUUGAGGAUGGUGAGAUGGAGUUUGCUGGGUUUUGGACGAACAAUGUCCCAACCCUGCACAUUCCUGCAUGAAGCUCACAUCUUUCUUUUCUUCCACCAGGUUCAAGAUACUUUCAAAAACUGCGACUUCGCAAGGAAUUCUGAGAACGCCCGUCUGCUGAAACCCAAAUUCUUCUUCUGCUUCUCUUAAUAACAAGUGAAAUGCACGGUGACCCAAAUACUCUGUCGGGAUUAUGAAUCUCCUGAGCUCUUCGCCAACGCAAACGGCUAGGUAGCCUUUUGGGACGGCAUUGCCCGAGGUUGUCUCCGAUAGAGAGAGCGUCCGUUUCAGGAACUUAAUGCUUUUGCUGCUGCCAUUGUUGGUGGUGGUGGGGUUGGAUGAGGUUGCCAACUUUCUCCACUUCUUUAGGAUCUGUUGAAGCCUAACGAUUUCUCUGAUCUUGUUAGACUUCUUGGAAUCCAUGGUCUCUACUUGAUGAGCUAGGCGGCGUUGUGAUACCGUCUAACGUUCAGUGGGGGAUUGCUCUCAACUUAUAGGACUUGGUUUCUUAAGGGUCUUGCUUCGGAAUUUUGAAUUCCAUUUUUUUAAUAAAUAUAAUAAAG
rnacentral:misc_RNA from 1 species